CUGCAGCGUGGGGCCGCCCUGAGGCUCCAGCAAGCGAGUCUCAGCAGCAGGCCCCGCCCGCGCUCGGGGCAGUGUCACUCACUAAUGUUACAGGAAGUUAGUGUGAAAAGCUAGCUGUGCGGUACUGGAGCCCAGAAGGUGGACCGGCCUUGGCCAGGCCCCAGCCUGCUGCCCGUGCACCAAGUCACAGUGAUGCCCGGAGAGCAGAUCACGAACGGGGCAUCCUGGGGGCUGCCGCCUCAGCUCGCUGUGACAGGGUGAGCGUGGGGUCUGGAGGCCCCCUGAGCAGGGCCACUCCCUGAGUCCAGCCGGCCGCGCUGACAGGGAAGGGUGCCCUCCCACCGGGGGAUAGUGCGCAGGAAGUCGGGGAGGCGGGAUAUUGAAACUAGCUUGGCGACAACACGGACAGUUGGAAGAUGGCCCGCCACGGCUCCAUGACCCUGGGGAGCCUGCAUCUGCGCUGAGGUCACAGAGAGAAGGGCCCUCACAACAGCUUGUAACCAAGUGUGUGGGAGCGACCCAGGCAGAGCUACAGGUGCUGGACACAGAUGGAACUGAUGUCAACGACAAGCACGUUGCCAGAGCCAGAAACCUCCCUCAAAGAGUUGGUCUUUCGCAGCAGCAGACAAUGGAUAAACACAGCGUGGUCCAUUUACCCGUGGCAUAGCGUUCAGUCACCAAGAGGAGUGAAGUACUGACCUGCGCUGCCAAAGGCCACAUUUAACUCCAUUUACAUGGAGCUUCCAGAAUCGGCAAAUCUCUAGACACAGGAAGUGGAUCACCGCUUGCCAGGGCUGAGCGAGGGGGUUGGGGAGUGACUGCCGACGGGUGCCAGGCUUCUCCUUGGUGGGGGAGAAAAGGUUCUGAAACAAGAUNNNNNNNNNNNNNNNNNNNNNUGGCACUGUGGAUGCACUCAGUGCCACUGAAUUGUAAACUUUG
rnacentral:lncRNA from 1 species